AUUGUCGUUUGUGUGGAAUGUUGACUAUAGAUCUAUGUGGUUAAUUGUUAUAUGUUUUUUUUUUUACAUUGACUCUUAGUUCAUCUGCUGAUUCGCCAAAAGACUGGCCUAUGUAUUGAUUUAUUUUGUACUGCGCAUCGUUCCGUCAAAACAGCCCAAAUCAUAAGUAAUUACGAUGAAAUUCAACAACAGCUUACACCAUUGGAUUAUUCAACAUGCAAACAGCUUUUUACAAGCCAUUAGUUAACUUUGGCUGAGAUAAUGAUGUUCUAAUAAUUCAAUAAAGGAAAUAUUCAUUCAAUUUGAGGCUAAAGAUAAAGAUACAUAAACAGGGCUGAGUUGAAGAUAAUCUACUUCCUAGUCCAAACCUCCCACAAGAUGACAAGGGAUUGCAGAAGGAAGGGUAUGAACCUGGGACCAUCAAGACGACCAAUCAACAGUCCAGCGCACAUGACUAGGCAGCCAUCCUAAACUGACAUAUCUUUUACUUAUUAAAGAAUAUUUUAAAAUCUUUAUAUUUGAUAGAGUUGAGUGAACCCAAUUAAAAAUUUAACCGUAAUGCAUAUAUUUCUGUCCAAAAUGGUUAUAAAACUUUACACUGGAAUUGUGUGAAUUUCACAUUGUGAGCUAGCUUAUUCUUUGUUUCUCCACAAAUCUAAUACAAAUUGGUAAGGAAUAAAGCACAGAAACAAAAUCUUUAAAAUUAGACUUUCAAUAAAUGAACUCAGCAAGUACUGUUGUAUCUCUGAAUUGCAAUAUUCAAUCAGAUGGUGGCUGCCUGGUUGUGUGGUAUGUACUUUGAAUUGUUGUCACAAUAGGCUAAAGUUCAUUACCCAGCCUACAAAAUUCACCUGCCAAACUGUAUGAGAUCUGAGCUACGACAUAAUGAUCUUCAUUUUAUAAGGAAUAUAUGAAAGUUGGAAAAUAAAAGAAAAAACAUGUAAUAGUUUCAAUAAAACUAGUCCUGCCAAAUAAACAAAACCACACAAAAAACAUACAAAUUUAUGUUCAUCUUCCUAUAUACAUUUUUUUUUAAUUGCUUGUUCGUGAUAGUUUAGGUUGCAUCAUGAACUUAUUUUAGCCCCCUACGUAAUCAAAUUACUAGAAUGAAGAGUUUCAAGCUGUAAAUAUCCAGCCCUUUCCAUGGCUUGAUCAAGAAAGUGGUAGUGGGAGAAUACUCUGGUUCAAAGCUCAAUGGAGUUAGAAGGCCAUAAAAUACAAUAAUACAAUUAGAAUUCAGACAAAAAAUACAGAAUAUUAAGGUAGUUUGUAUAUGUUAAAAUGAAAUAAAACUUUUAAAUUUUGUUUUGUUUGCCUGACAUUUGUUGGGGAAAGUAUAGGGAGUCGGUCGUUGUGCUGGCCAUCCUCAUUAACUGUCAGCCAUAGAAACAGAUGAUCUUUACAUCAUCUGUCCUAUAAAUUGCAAGGUCUGAGAGGGGAACUUUACAUUUAUUUAUUUUUUUUACUUUGUUGUUUUAUGAAUUUCUAAUAUUCCUUUGGAAAGGAAGAUUACCCCAAACUUCCUGCAGGACAGCAGGGGAUAGACGUAGGCAGGGCUUGAACUCUGGACCACUGUGACAACAGUCCAAAGUGCAAACCAUACAACAAGGCAUCUAUCCAGAUAUUAAUAGAUAAUAACAGGAUAUUGAUCUUUUAUUUUUGGUUGAAGAUAGCAAUUACCUUAAAAUGAUAAGCAGUUAUUUUUUAUAAAUACAUUUUUUUUUCUUAGAUUCUUUAAAUUUAGAAAUUAAGAUAGAAAAAAAGAUAUUGAAAUUAUUAUACAUAUUUGUUGAAAGUCUUUAUAUGAGAAACGAGUCCUUGUAAUCACAACAAAUUUCCGUAAGGAUCAAUAAAGGAGUCUUAGUCUUAGUAUUUUUUUGGGGGGGGAUCAUUUAAAAAAAAAAUUAUUAAAAAUUUAUAUAAUUAUAAUAAUAAUUUAAAAAUUACUUAAUUAACUAAUAAUAAUAAUAAAUUAUUAUUAUCAAAAA